UACGUAGGGUGCGAGCGUUAAUCGGAAUUACUGGGCGUAAAGCGUGCGCAGGCGGUUUUUUAAGUCAGAUGUGAAAUCCCCGGGCUUAACCUGGGAACUGCAUUUGUGACUGGAAGACUAGAGUGCGGCAGAGGGGGGUAGAAUUCCACGUGUAGCAGUGAAAUGCGUAGAUAUGUGGAGGAAUACCGAUGGCGAAGGCAGCACACUGGGAAGACACUGACGCUCAUGCACGAAAGCGUGGGGAGCAAACAGG
rnacentral:rRNA from 1 species